rnacentral:rRNA from 1 species
GAUGAACGCUGGCGGCGUGCCUAAUACAUGCCAGUCGAGCGAACGGACAAGAAGCUUGCUUCUCUGAUGGUAGCGGCGCACGGGUGAGUAACACGUGUAUAACCUACCUAUUAUACUGGGAUAACUUCGGUAAACCGGAGCUAUUAUCCGAUAAUAGUUUGAAACUCGUGGUUCAAAGGCGAGGUACGAUCUUGCUUUCACUUAUGGCUUGCUCCGCGCUGCAUUAGCUAUUUGGUAAGGUAACGGCUUACCAAGGCAACGAUGCAUAGCCGACCUGAGAGGGUGAUCGGCCACACUGGAACUGAGACAAGGUCCGGACUACUACGGGAGGCAGCAGUAGGGAAUCUUCCGCAAUGGGAGAGAGCCUGACGGAGCAACGCCGCGUGAGUGAUGGAGGUAUUCGGAUCGUAAAACUCUGUUAUUAGGGAAGAACAUAUGUGUAAGUAACUGUGCACAUCUUGACGGUACCUAAUCAGAAAGCCACGGCUAACUACGUG